GGAGAAAAUAGAUCCAUGGAGUCGUUUCGAAUCGGAAACGACUCGACGGCACUGGAUAGUAAUGAUAACGAUAGAGUUGAAGUAGAGUCAGGUCUCGGAUGCUGAGAGCUUGUUUCACCUUGGAAGAAAAAAACUGCCUGUGUGUGAGCAUAUGCUGAUGCUGCUCCCGGCGGCUCUGCUUUCCAAGAUAAUUUCCAGAAAUCACUGCCGGAGGAAUGAGUCUGGAGGAUUUGCAGGCAGAGAGGACAAGGAGUGUACACAGCUCGCUGCAGGAACCAAGCGGUCAAGUGGCUUUGAAAACAUCGAGUAUUAAAAACACAGGCUCCAGAGGGCAA